rnacentral:rRNA from 1 species
UGGCCAACCUGCCCCUAACUCUGGGAUAACCCCGGGAAACCGGAGCUAAUACCGGAUACGAGACCGAGUGGCAUCACACGGUCUGGAAAGUUUUUCGGUUAGGGAUGGGGUCGCGGCCUAUCAGCUUGUUGGUGGGGUAAUGGCCUACCAAGGCGACGACGGGUAGCCGGCCUGAGAGGGCGACCGGCCACACUGGGACUGAGACACGGCCCAGACUCCUACGGGAGGCA